rnacentral:rRNA from 1 species
UCCUUGGUAGCAAUAUUGAGGAGUUGGAGCGGCGCAAGGGUGCGUAACACGUGGAUCAUCUGCCUGGAAGUUCGGAAUAAUUCCGCGAAAGCGGGACUAAUGCCGGAUGUGGUUGCAGAACUAAAGCUGGGGACCGCAAGGCCUGGCGCUUCCAGAUGAGUCCGCGGCCUAUCAGCUAGUUGGCGGGGUAACGGCCCACCAAGGCUAAGACGGGUAGCUGGUCUGAGAGGACGACCAGCCACACUGGAACUGAGACACGGUCCAGACACCUACGGGUGGCAGCAGUCGAGAAUUUUUCUCAAUGGGCGAAAGCCUGAAGGAGCGACGCCGCGUGGGGGAUGAAGGGCUUCGGUCCGUAAACCCCUGUCAUUUGCGAACAAACCUUAUGAUUGAACAUUUCAUGAGCUGAUUGUAGCGAAAGAGGAAGGGACGGCUAACUCUGUGCCAGCAGCCGCGGUAAUACAGAGGUCCCAAGCGUUGUUCGGAUUCACUGGGCGUAAAGGGUGCGCAGGUGGUUUGGCAAGUUUGACGUGAAAGCCCCGGGCUUAACCCGGGAAUGGCGUUGAAAACUGCUUGAACUGGAGGGUUGGAGGGGGGACUGGAAUUCUUGGUGUAGCAGUGAAAUGCGUAGAUAUCAAGAGGAACACCAGUGGCGAAGGCGAGUCCCUGGACAAACCCUGACACUGAGGCACGAAAGCCAAGGGAGCAAACAGGAUUAGA